GUUUCACUUUCUGCAGGCUGUACAGACUGCUGCCGCGACGGCUGGCUAGGUGGCUCUAAAAGUUAAUGAAGUUUCCGUCUUCAGAAUUUGGAGAGAAUAGUAAACAAAUUAUGCUGUCACUCCUCCUGGAGUGCCCCGAGGGCUGUCACACCAAGCAAACACUUGAUGGCAUGUACAGGCAGAAGGAGCUGGAGAAAGAAUGACAUGCUGCUACACAUGCCUGCUCACAGAACCUGGGACCACUGUCACUUGGAUCAUGACCAACUACCAAGAUGGGAAGAAGGUUAGAACCAGCUGGCUGGAAGCCAAGUUGGAAGUUGACUUUAAGAUGGCGACAGGCUGUUGGAAAUAAACAAAUCAGCUCAUUUGGAUAGAGGAGUCUUGUGAUCCAACAUGACAGGUGUGUUGUGAACUGUCGCAUGUAUUUGAAGGACAUUAUUAUGAAGAAGUAGAUAUCUACAAAGUUGGGGAUUGGAG
rnacentral:lncRNA from 1 species